rnacentral:rRNA from 1 species
GACGAACGCUGGCGGCGUGCUUAACACAUGCAAGUCGAACGGUAAGGCCCCUUCGGGGGUACACGAGUGGCGAACGGGUGAGUAACACGUGGGUAAUCUGCCCUGCACUUCGGGAUAAGCCUGGGAAACUGGGUCUAAUACCGGAUAUGAGCUCCUGCCGCAUGGUGGGGGUUGGAAAGUUUUUCGGUGCAGGAUGAGCCCGCGGCCUAUCAGCUUGUUGGUGGGGUAAUGGCCUACCAAGGCGACGACGGGUAGCCGGCCUGAGAGGGUGAUCGGCCACACUGGGACUGAGACACGGCCCAG